rnacentral:rRNA from 1 species
GUAAGUUCCGACCUGCACGAAUGGUGCAACGAUCUGGGCACUGUCUCAACCAUGAUCUCGGUGAAAUUGUAGUAUCGGUGAAGAUGCCGGUUACCCGCAGUGGGACGAAAAGACCCCGUGCACCUUUACUAUAGCUUCGUAUUGACCUUGGUCAAACAAUGUGUAGGAUAGCUGGGAGGCUUUGAAUCUGCGUCGCCAGGCGUGGAGGAGCCGUUGUUGAAAUACCAGCCUUUGUUUGAUCGGGGCCUAACCCCUAACGGGGGACAGUGCGUGGUGGGUAGUUUGACUGGGGUGGUCGCCUCCAAAAGAGUAACGGAGGCUUCUAAAGGUGCCCUCAAUACGGUUGGCAAUCGUGUGCAGAGUGCAAUGGCACAAGGGCGCUUGACUGUGAGACAUACAGGUCGAACAGGUAGGAAACUAGAGCAUAGUGAUCCGGUGGUUCCGCAUGGAAGGGCCAUCGCUCAAAGGAUAAAAGGUACGCCGGGGAUAACAGGCUGAUCUCCCCCAAGAG